AUGCAAACAUCUUUGUGAUGUUAUUUUAAAAUUACAAGAUGAAUGACAAAGUUACAUCCAUGACAAGUUCUUCUUUGGCCAAACUUGACUUUUUACAUUUAAAUAUGACCUUACCUUAAAGUAGUGAUACGGAUUUUUUACAGCAAGAACGUAUGAAUAUUUGUUCAGGAGUAUAAGACUUUGGUUGUGUUCACUGUACAGGUGAGGUUUUUCCUGCAUAUCGACAGUCAUACAAUGGUGUGAAAUUGUCUCCUUUAUUAUCAAAAGUUUGUUGAACAAAAUCCUCUCAUUGGUAUCAAGCCUGCACAAA